CAGAGCCUCAAAUCAAAGGGUUAUGGAAGCUGAGGCUGGUUGCUCUUCUCAGUUGUGGAUGCUGCUCUGCUUCAUGCAACCAGCCAAACCUCUGUAGUGGCUAAAACUAGAAUCCAGUAUCUUGUGUCCAAACCAAAAAUAUACAGACAUCUCUCAAGAGUGUUAAGUCAACAAAAGGCCUUGUGUCUCCAAAUAUUUGCAUCUGAUGAUAGCACACUGCCAACAGAAGCCAUAAUCAGGGUUUCCACCUGAUGUUUGUAACAUGUAAUCUUGUCUCAGCUACUGAAGUCCUGUGGUAAAGGCCUCCUUCCUUUGUCAUGAUUUCUUUCCUCAGGCACUAGCUCAG